AAUUCUUCAGCGUGCUGUCGAGCGGUUUAAUAAACAGGCUGUUAUUACGCAGGUUGACGUCACCUUUGGCGGUAACCAGCGAGCCGUCUAGCGGAAUAUCAAGAUGUAAGCGAGCAUUCACAUCGCCGUCAAUCUGCAGUUGCUCAAGCGUAGCGCCGAGUGAAUCCUUCAAAGGCGUCUCAUCAAAAUAAGGUCCAACCGCCUUGCCCGGCCCGUUGAUGUCGGCAUCAAUCAGCAGUUUUUCUUUGGCAUAGUCGGGGAUGUUAGCCGUCAGAUUACUGGCCUUCACACCGCCCAGAUUAACGCUAUCGGUCUUCAUCCACAGACCGUCGUUAAUGAAGUUCAGUUCAAUAUUAAGGUCAGUCAGCGCGGGCCAGUCGGGCUGGAAAGCAAACUUCGCAUUGCGAAGCGGCAC
rnacentral:ncRNA from 1 species